AUUGAACGCUGGCGGAAUGCUUUACACAUGCAAGUCGAACGGUAGAGGGGGCAACCCCUCGAGAGUGGCGAACGGGUGAGUAAUAUAUCGGAACGUGCCCAGUCGUGGGGGAUAACGUAGCGAAAGUUACGCUAAUACCGCAUACGAUCUAAGGAUGAAAGCGGGGGAUCGCAAGACCUCGCGCGAUUGGAGCGGCCGAUAUCAGAUUAGGUAGUUGGUGGGGUAAAGGCUCACCAAGCCAACGAUCUGUAGCUGGUCUGAGAGGACGACCAGCCACACUGGAACUGAGACACGGUCCAGACCCCUACGGGAGGCAGCAGUGGGGAAUUUUGGACAAUGGACGCAAGUCUGAUCCAGCCAUUCCGCGUGCAGGAUGAAGGCCCUCGGGUUGUAAACUGCUUUUGUACGGAACGAAAAGGUCUCUCUUAAUACGGGGGGCUCAUGACGGUACCGUAAGAAUAAGCACCGGCUAACUACGUGCCAGCCGCCGCCGUAA
rnacentral:rRNA from 1 species